rnacentral:rRNA from 1 species
GUGGAAUUCCAUGUGUAGCGGUGAAAUGCGUAGAUAUAUGGAGGACACCCGUGGCGAAGGCGGCUCUUUGGUCCGUAACUGACGCUGAGGCUCGAAAGCGUGGGGAGCAAACAGGAUUAGAUACCCUGGUAGUCCACGCCGUAAACGAUGAGUGCUAAGUGUUGGAGGGUUUCCGCCCUUCAGUGCUGCAGCUAACGCAUUAAGCACUCCGCCUGGGGAGUACGACCGCAAGGUUGAAACUCAAAGGAAUUGACGGGGGCCCGCACAAGCGGUGGAGCAUGUGGUUUAAUUUGAAGCAACGCGAAGAACCUUACCAGGUCUUGACAUCCUUUGACCCCUUUAGAGAUAGAGCUUUCCCUUUGGGGGCAAAAUGACAGGUGGUGCAUGGUUGUUGUCAGCUUGUGUUGUGAGAUGUUGGGUUAAGUCCCGCAACGAGGGCAACCCUUAUUGUUAGUUGCCAUCAUUUAGUUGGGCACUUUAGCAAGACUGCCGGUGACAAACCGGAGGAAGGUGGGGAAGAAGUCAAAUCAUCAUGCCCCUUAUGACCUGGGGUACACACGUGGUACAAUGGGAAGUACAACGAGUUGGGAAGUCGCGAGGGUAAGCUAAUUUUUUAAAGCUUUUUUCAGUUUGGAUUGCAGGGUGCAAAUUGCCUGCAUGAAGCCGGAAUCGCUAGUAAUUGCGGAUCAGCCCGCCGCGGUGAAUACGUUCCCGGGCCUUGUACACCCCGCCCGUCACACCCCGAGAGUUUGUAACC